UACAAACCCACGGGCCACGGCCUCAACGGCACCUACAAACCCACGGCCUGGCAGCAGAAGUACCAGCAGCGCCGUCCAUGGAAUUCUUCCCGGACAGGGCGCACUUGCGCCUGCGGAACCCUGUGAACAGCGCGUACCUUUACGCCAUGGAGGACGGGGUGGGGAUCACCCUGCGCCGGCGCAGUGGGACACGGAACGAGGCGUGGGCGGUGCACCGCGUCGAGCUCAACGGCGCCAACUACGUCCUCCUCCACAGCGCCGCCUACGGCCGGUACCUCGCCAUUGUAUGCGAGGAAGCGGCUCCGGCGCCGUCUUCGGGCCAAGGUGCAGGCGCCAGCCACAUCUGCCGCGUCGUCCAGCGCGCCUACGACGCCCCAGGGCAGGACGACGUGCUGUGGGAGGUCCGCUGCGUGGACGACGGGUCCGGCGAAGUCCAGAUGCGCAAUCCCACGUACGGCGCCACGGGCUACUACGAUGGCCAGAAAAAAUGGAUGCGAGUGAUGGUCGAGGCCAUUCCCCCAAGAGCGGACCCGCCUGAACAUCCUCUGCCUGUGAUUUCGUGGAUGAGAUGGCAACAGCAGUUCCCCAUCGUUGGCCGGCUCCGCCGCCAGUGCCAGGGAGUCCAGGGGCAACCGGUGCUUCGGCGGAGGAUCUACUAUGUGCGGGCGGACGAUCAAGGGAACUUCAACUCGGACGCCUGGAGGAUGCUAUGGUUCCUUGACCGGUCCGUGUGGCACCUGAGGAGAGAUUUAGCAGCCCAGGUGGGUGUGGGUGAAGCCAACGCCCUAGACAUCACGCUGUGCGUGCGGGCCGGCUCCAACGGCCGGUUGACUCCUCUUGUCAUCGACCUGCCUUCCGAUGAGCAGGCCAUGCACGUCGUCGUCCUCAACACUGAUUCACCAGCUGCUGAAGCUUUAGUGCACCCAGAUGUUGGUGCACCGUAGAGGAAUAUUAGACCAAGACUUCUGACAGCAACAUCGCAGUUCAUCUCUUCAGAAAUGAGCAGUUCCCUGCUUCGGAUUCAGUGAGAUGACAACUGAUAUUUGUUCUGAUAGCUUCAGAAGACUCAGUCAGUCCAUUUGGGAUUUAUGUGUUCCGCCAAUCGGAAGCGUUUUGAACUGGCCUUCAAGUUUCAAAACUUCAAAACUGCUGGAGGCGUUCUGUGGAAACAUUGUUUGAACUCACUUUUUUCUUGAUAUACUAGAUGAAUUCUCCGCGCGUUAAAGUUGAUACAAAUUCUUCUCAAA
rnacentral:misc_RNA from 1 species